rnacentral:rRNA from 1 species
CCUACGGGAGGCAGCAGUGGGGAAUCUUGCACAAUGGGGGGAACCCUGAUGCAGCGACGCCGCGUGAGUGAAGAAGUAUUUCGGUAUGUAAAGCUCUAUCAGCAGGGAAGAACAUGACGGUACCUGACUAAGAAGCCCCGGCUAACUACGUGACAGCAGCCGCGGUAAUACGUAGGGGGCAAGCGUUAUCCGGAUUUACUGGGUGGAAAGGGAGCGUGGACGGGAGAGCAGGUAUGAAGUGAAAGCCCGGUGGCCAACUGGGGGACUGCUUUGGAAACUGCACGCCUAGAGUGCUGGAGAGGUGAGUGGAAUUCCUAGUGUAGCGGUGAAAUGCGUAGAUAUUAGGAGGAACACCAGUGGCGAAGGCGGCUUACUGGACAGUAACUGACGUUGAGGCUCGAAAGCGUGGGGAGCAAACAGGAUUAGAUACCCCAGUAGUC